GUUCAGGAUACUCUGUUCCGCAGUGUUAGUGUUACAGAAUGGCCCGUACCAAGCAGACCGCCCGUAAGUCUACAGGAGGGAAAGCUCCCCGCAAGCAGCUGGCAACCAAAGCAGCCAGGAAGAGCGCUCCGGCCACCGGUGGAGUGAAGAAACCUCACCGUUACCGGCCCGGCACAGUCGCUCUCCGUGAGAUCCGCCGCUACCAGAAAUCCACCGAGCUGCUCAUCCGCAAGCUGCCUUUCCAGCGCCUGGUCCGGGAGAUCGCUCAGGACUUCAAGACCGACCUGCGCUUCCAGAGCUCAGCCGUCAUGGCUCUGCAGGAGGCCAGCGAGGCUUAUCUGGUCGGUCUCUUUGAGGACACCAACCUGUGCGCCAUCCACGCCAAGAGGGUCACCAUCAUGCCCAAGGACAUCCAGCUGGCCCGCAGGAUCCGAGGCGAGAGGGCUUAGAUCAUCGGCAGCUUCUCUCCCAGCAGCACAAAGGCUCUUUUCAGAGCCACCAAAUCCCCAAUCAAACGAGCUGAACUUCUUUGUUUCACUGAUGCAGCCAAUCCCGCCUUUACCCACAAGUAUUUAGAGCUUAGAAUGUCUGAGACCGCUCCCGCCCCUCCCCCGGCUGAACCCGCCGCUGCCAAGAAGAAGCAGCCCAAGAAGGGAGGCGCUAAAGCCAAGAAACCCGCCGGGCCCAGCGCGUCCGAACUGAUCGUGAAAGCCGUGUCCGCCUCUAAGGAGCGCAGCGGGGUGUCCCUGGCCGCUCUCAAGAAGGCUCUGGCUGCCGGAGGCUACGAUGUGGAGAAGAACAACAGCCGCCUCAAGCUGGCUCUCAAGGCCUUGGUCACUAAGGGGACUCUCACCCAAGUCAAGGGGAGCGGAGCCUCCGGAUCCUUCAAGCUGAACAAGAAGCAGCUGGAGAGUAAGGAGAAGGCGGCCAAGAAGAAGCCAGCGGCGCCCAAAGCCAAGAAACCAGCGGCGGCAAAGAAGGCGCUCAAGUCCCCUAAAAAGCCCAAGAAGGUCUCGGCAGCAGCAAAGAGCCCCAAGAAGGUGAAGAAACCGGCAAAGGCCGCCAAAAGCCCCAAGAAGCCCAAAGCUGCCAAACCCAAGAAGGUGGCCAAGAGCCCGGCUAAAAAGUGUUACAGAAUGGCCCGUACCAAGCAGACCGCCCGUAAGUCUACAGGAGGGAAAGCUCCCCGCAAGCAGCUGGCAACCAAAGCAGCCAGGAAGAGCGCUCCGGCCACCGGUGGAGUGAAGAAACCUCACCGUUACCGGCCCGGCACAGUCGCUCUCCGUGAGAUCCGUCGCUACCAGAAAUCCACCGAGCUGCUCAUCCGCAAACUGCCUUUCCAGCGCCUGGUCCGGGAGAUCGCUCAGGACUUCAAGACCGACCUGCGCUUCCAGAGCUCAGCCGUCAUGGCUCUGCAGGAGGCCAGCGAGGCUUAUCUGGUCGGUCUCUUUGAGGACACCAACCUGUGCGCCAUCCACGCCAAGAGGGUCACCAUCAUGCCCAAGGACAUCCAGCUGGCCCGCAGGAUCCGAGGCGAGAGGGCUUAGAUCAUCGGCAGCUUCUCUCCCAGCAGCACAAAGGCUCUUUUCAGAGCCCCCAA